AACUUUUAAAUUAUUUCUUAGUCUAUAAAUCAUAGUUUAGAAAUAACUAUAAAAGAGUAAAUAGAAUAUAUAAAAAUAUUUUUUACUUCAUAAAUAUUAAUUAUAAUAAACUAAAAACUAAAAUUUCUGUAUAUAGUUAUCUGUUGUCUGUAAUCCGUAGGCGAACGUGGGGAAUUGAAACAUCUUAGUACCCACAGGAAAAGAAAUCAAAAGAGAUUACGCUAGUAGCGGCGAGCGAACGCGUAAGAGGGCAAACCACUAGUUUACUAGUGGGGUUGUAGGACUGCAUAAAAGACUAAAACAUGAUAGUAAAACAAUCUGGAAAGAUUGAGCAUAGAGGGUGAUACUCCCGUAUACGAAAUCAUCUUUUUACUUAGCAGUAUCCUGAGUAGGGCGAGGCACGUGAAACCUUGUCUGAAUCUGGGAAGACCACUUUCCAACCCUAAAUACUACUACUAGACCGAUAGUGCACAAGUACCGUGAGGGAAAGGUGAAAAGAACUGAGGUGAUCAGAGUGAAAUAGAACCUGAAACCAUUUGCUUACAAUCAUUCAGAGCACGAUUCUUUAUGACGUGUGAUGGACUGCCUUUUGCAUAAUGAGCCUGCGAGUUGUGGUGUCUGGCAAGGUUAAGGAAACCCGGAGCCGUAGCGAAAGCGAGUCUUAAUAGGGCGUUUAGUCAGAUGCUGCAGACCCGAAACGAUGUGAUCUAUCCAUGAGCAGGUUGAAACCGGUGUAAAAACCGGCGGAGGACCGAACUGGCAAGCGUUGAAAAGCUUUCGGAUGACUUGUGGAUAGGGGUGAAAGGCCAAUCAAACAUCGUGAUAGCUGGUUCUCUCCGAAAUAUAUUGAGGUAUAGCGUUGUGUCGUAACUAUAAGGGGUAGAGCACUGAAUGGGCUAGGGCGUAUACCAAUGUACCAAACCCUAUCAAACUCCGAAUACUUAUAGUGUAAUCACAGCAGUCAGGCGGCGAGUGAUAAAAUCCGUCGUCAAGAGGGGAACAACCCAGACUACCGACUAAGGUCCCCAAAUCUUAUUUAAGUGGAAAACGAUGUGAAGUUACUGAAACAACCAGGAGGUUGGCUUAGAAGCAGCCAUCCUUUAAAGAUAGCGUAAUAGCUCACUGGUCUAGUGAUUUUGCGCGGAAAAUAUAACGGGGCUAAAAUAAGUACCGAAGUCGUAGAUUCGGAAUACAGAUUACAGAAUACAGAUUACAGAGUUUAAAGAAAUAAAACAGAGUGAAUACAAAUAAUAAAAAACUAGAUGUAACUGAUUUAGAAAUUUAUAAAUCAUCUUAUAAUCUUAUGUUAGAAAUUCACAAAUUAACACUAUCUUAUCCAAAGAUAGAACAAUUUGGUGGUAUAGCUGAUCAAUUAAGAAGAUCAAGUAAAAGUAUAACUGCUAAUAUGGUAGAAGGUUAUGCUAAACAUAGAUUCUAUAAAGAUGAGUUUAAAAGAAUGCUAGUUUAUUCAAUAGGAAGUACAGAUGAAACUAUCUUAUGGAUAAGAGUUUCAAAAGAUUUAGGUUACAUUGAUGAAAAAAUAUCUAAUAAAUUAAUAAAAGAGUAUAAAAUCUUAGUUAGAAGAUUAUCUGUAUUUACAAGUAGUAUUAAAUAAUUAACUUUAAAUUCCGUAAUCCGUAUUCUGUCAUCUGUAUUCCGUCUGGUAGGAGAGCGUUGCAUUCAGCGUUGAAGGUGUACCGGUAAGGAGCGCUGGAGCGGAUGCAAGUGAGCAUGCAGGCAUGAGUAGCGAUAAUUAAUGUGAGAAUCAUUAACGCCGUAAACCCAAGGUUUCCUACGCGAUGCUCGUCAUCGUAGGGUUAGUCGGGUCCUAAGCAAAGUCCGAAAGGGGUAUGCGAUGGAAAAUUGGUUAAUAUUCCAAUACCUUUGAUUAUGUGCGAUGGAAGGACGCUUAAAGCUAGUGGGGCUAACUGAUGGAAUAGUUAGUCUAAGGAUGUAGGUUGAGUUAUAGGCAAAUCCGUAACUCUUUAUCUGAAAUCUUAAAGGCUUACAAAACUCUUCGGAGUAGCGUAAGAACCCAUGAUGCUAUAGAGCCAAGAAAAGUUUCUAAGUUUAGUAAUCAAAGCCCGUACCGUAAACCGACACAGGUGGGUGGGAUGAGUAUUCUAAGGCGCGUGGAAGAACUCUCUUUAAGGAACUCUGCAAAAUAGCACCGUAUCUUCGGUAUAAGGUGUGCCUACCAGGGUGUUAAAGCCCUAGAGGUUACAACAAAGAGUCCCUCCCGACUGUUUACCAAAAACACAGCACUCUGCUAACACGUAAGUGGAUGUAUAGGGUGUGACGCCUGCCCGGUGCUCGAAGGUUAAUUGAUGGGGUUAGCAUUAGCGAAGCUCUUGAUCGAAGCCCGAGUAAACGGCGGCCGUAACUAUAACGGUCCUAAGGUAGCGAAAUUCCUUGUCGGUUAAAUACCGACCUGCAUGAAUGGCGUAACGAGAUGGGAGCUGUCUCAAAGAGGGAUCCAGUGAAAUUGUAGUGGAGGUGAAAAUUCCUCCUACCCGCGGCAAGACGGAAAGACCCCGUGGACCUUUACUAUAGCUUGACACUGCUACUUGGAUAAAAAUGCGCAGGAUAGGUGGGAGGCUUUGAUCCAUAGAUUUUGGUUUAUGGUGAGCCAUUGUUGAGAUACCACUCUUUUUUAUUUGGGUAGCUAACUAGCAUGAGUUAUCCUCAUGUAGGACAAUGUCUGGUGGGUAGUUUGACUGGGGCGGUCGCCUCCCAAAAUGUAACGGAGGCUUACAAAGGUUAGUUCAAAACGGUUGGAAAUCGUUUGUAGAGUAUAAAGGCAUAAACUAGCUUAACUGUGAGGCAUACAAGCCGAGCAGAGACGAAAGUCGGUCUUAGUGAUCCGGUGGUUCUGUGUGGAAGGGCCAUCGCUCAAAGGAUAAAAGGUACCCCGGGGAUAACAGGCUGAUCUCCCCCAAGAGCUCACAUCGACGGGGAGGUUUGGCACCUCGAUGUCGGCUCAUCGCAUCCUGGGGCUGGAGCAGGUCCCAAGGGUAUGGCUGUUCGCCAUUUAAAGCGGUACGCGAGCUGGGUUCAGAACGUCGUGAGACAGUUCGGUCCCUAUCUGCCGUGGGCGUAAGAAGAUUGAGGAGAGUUGACCCUAGUACGAGAGGACCGGGUCGAACUAACCACUGGUGUAUGGGUUGUUCUGCCAAGAGCAUCGCCCAGUAGCUAAGUUAGGAUGUGAUAAGAGCUGAAAGCAUCUAAGCUCGAAGCCAACUCCAAGAUGAAUCUUCUUUUAAGAGCUCUUAUAGACUAUAAGUUUGAUAGGCUGGAUGUGUAAGUGAUGUAAGUCAUUUAGCUGACCAGUACUAAUAGCUCGUUUGCUUAUCUU
rnacentral:rRNA from 1 species